rnacentral:rRNA from 1 species
UACGAGGGGAGCUAGCGUUAUUCGGAAUUACUGGGCGUAAAGCGCACGUAGGCGGCUUUGUAAGUUAGAGGUGAAAGCCCAGGGCUUAACCCUGGAAUUGCCUUUAAGACUGCAUCGCUAGAAUCGUGGAGAGGUGAGUGGAAUUCCGAGUGUAGAGGUGAAAUUCGUAGAUAUUCGGAAGAACACCAGUGGCGAAGGCGACUCACUGGACACGUAUUGACGCUGAGGUGCGAAAGCGUGGGGAGCAAACAGG